rnacentral:rRNA from 1 species
GAGCGCCCCGCAAGGGGAGCGGCAGACGGGUGAGUAACGCGUGGGAAUCUACCCAUCUCUACGGAAUAACUCAGGGAAACUUGUGCUAAUACCGUAUACGCCCUUCGGGGGAAAGAUUUAUCGGAGAUGGAUGAGCCCGCGUUGGAUUAGCUAGUUGGUGGGGUAAAGGCCUACCAAGGCGACGAUCCAUAGCUGGUCUGAGAGGAUGAUCAGCCACACUGGGACUGAGACACGGCCCAGACUCCUACGGGAGGCAGCAGUGGGGAAUAUUGGACAAUGGGCGCAAGCCUGAUCCAGCCAUGCCGCGUGUGUGAUGAAGGCCCUAGGGUUGUAAAGCACUUUCAACGGUGAAGAUAAUGACGGUAACCGUAGAAGAAGCCCCGGCUAACUUCGUGCCAGCAGCCGCGGUAAUACGAAGGGGGCUAGCGUUGUUCGGAAUUACUGGGCGUAAAGCGCACGUAGGCGGAUCGUUAAGUGAGGGGUGAAAUCCCAGGG